GGAGGGAUACCGAAGCGGUCACAACGGGGCGGUCUUGAAAACCGUUAGAUGUCAAAGUCACGGGGGUUCGAAUCCCUCUCCCUCCGCCA
rnacentral:tRNA from 1 species